ACUCUCAAGGAGUGGUCUCAAAGGCAGCCUCACUGUCAUGCCAGCAUGUACCUACUGUGGAAAGGGGUUUCUAGAGACCGCAUCCCAUUCCCUGUCCUGAUUUGACCACAUGGGAACCUUUGCAGUGGAAAGAAACCAGGCACUAUGGGGCCAGGGCAAAACUUUGACAAGCAUUCUGGACAGCCUAGUAAUUGUGUGCUAAGUGUAUAAUCCUAACGAGAAUGGGAAGACCUGACUCUUUGGAAGCUCCUGCAAGACUUCAAAGGAAUUACCAGGAAUUACCAGAGGAGAAAACAGACACUGAAUGUGAAAUGAAUUACCCACAGACAGCAAAUAAGUCAUAUGCAAAGUUAUGAGAG